AUGGAAGGCUUGCUACAUUGGGAUUUUGCUCCUGGCCUAGCCCUGGCCGAUCAGGUGAGGAGAAAAUUUGGUUCUACGGUUCACUUCUCUCCUUCUCGGGAUUCCAAGGAGUUCUUCUUGGUGGUCUCUUUUUCGUCUGCCUCUUUUCCUCUCUCGGUGGAAUCGGUGGGCAUUGUUCUUCAAUGUUGCAUUGGUGGAAUUGCUGCUGGUUUUAAGGUCUCUCAUUUGAGUUCUCGGAGUUUUUGA
rnacentral:rRNA from 1 species